GAUGAACGCUGGCGGCGUGCCUAAUACAUGCAAGUCGAGCGAACGGACGAGAAGCUUGCUUCUCUGAUGUUAGCGGCGGACGGGUGAGUAACACGUGGAUAACCUACCUAUAAGACUGGGAUAACUUCGGGAAACCGGAGCUAAUACCGGAUAAUAUUUUGAACCGCAUGGUUCAAAAGUGAAAGACGGUCUUGCUGUCACUUAUAGAUGGAUCCGCGCUGCAUUAGCUAGUUGGUAAGGUAACGGCUUACCAAGGCAACGAUGCAUAGCCGACCUGAGAGGGUGAUCGGCCACACUGGAGCUGAGACACGGUCCAGGCUCCUACGGGAGGCAGCAGUAGGGAAUCUUCCGCAAUGGGCGAAAGCCUGACGGAGCAACGCCGCGUGAGUGAUGAAGGUCUUCGGAUCGUAAAACUCUGUUAUUAGGGAAGAACAUAUGUGUAAGUAACUGUGCACAUCUUGACGGUACCUAAUCAGAAAGCCACGGCUAACUACGUG
rnacentral:rRNA from 1 species